AGCGAACGCUGGCGGCAGGCUUAACACAUGCAAGUCGAGCGGGCGUAGCAAUACGUCAGCGGCAGACGGGUGAGUAACACGUGGGAACGUACCUUUUGGUCGGAACAACACAGGGAAACUUGUGCUAAUACCGAAUAAGCCCUUACGGGGAAAGAUUUAUCGCCGAAAGAUCGGCCCGCGUCUGAUUAGCUUGUUGGUGAGGUAACGGCUCACCAAGGCGACGAUCAGUAGCGGUCUGAGAGGAUGAUCAGCCACACUGGGACUGAGACACGGCCCAGACUCCUACGGGAGGCAGCAGUGGGGAAUAUUGGACAAUGGGGGCAACCCCUGAUCCACGCCAUGCCGCGUGAGUGAUGAAGG
rnacentral:rRNA from 1 species